AGCUCCUUUGCUCAGCGGAAGAGCUGCGCCUUUACACGGCGACGGCGGGGAGUUCGAUCCUCUCAGGGGCUACCA
rnacentral:tRNA from 1 species